GGCUCGGUUGCGUUGGGACGCAUCUGCUUUCCGUUCUUGGAUUUGCCAGAUCGAAAAUUUGUGCAGACCCGCCCGUUCGACUCGGGCCCGAGCCA